rnacentral:rRNA from 1 species
UAGGGAAUCUUCGGCAAUGGGGCAACCCUGACCGAGCAACGCCGCGUGAGUGAAGAAGGUUUUCGGAUCGUAAAGCUCUGUUGUAAGAGAAGAACGUGUGUGAGAGUGGAAAGUUCACACAGUGACGGUAACUUACCAGAAAGGGACGGCUAACUACGUGCCAA